UAGCUUAUCUUUUUACUAAAUAAUAAUUAUUUAUAUAAUGUUCUUCUACAAUUGUGGUAUGUAUAUAA
rnacentral:tRNA from 1 species